rnacentral:rRNA from 1 species
UCGAGCGGAAAGGCCCUUCGGGGUACUCGAGCGGCGAACGGGUGAGUAACACGUGAGUAACCUGCCCCAGGCUUUGGGAUAACCCCGGGAAACCGGGGCUAAUACCGGAUAUGACCAUCUGUCGCAUGGUGGGUGGUGGAAAGAUUUUUUGGCUUGGGAUGGGCUCGCGGCCUAUCAGCUUGUUGGUGGGGUGAUGGCCUACCAAGGCGGCGACGGGUAGCCGGCCUGAGAGGGCGACCGGCCACACUGGGACUGAGACACGGCCCAGACUCCUACGGGAGGCAGCAGUGGGGAAUCUUGCACAAUGGGCGGAAGCCUGAUGCAGCGACGCCGCGUGAGGGAUGACGGCCUUCGGGUUGUAAACCUCUUUCAGCAGGGACGAAGCGUUUGUGACGGUACCUGCAGAAGAAGCGCCGGCCAACUACGUGCCAGCAGCCGCGGUAAGACGUAGGGCGCAAGCGUUGUCCGGAUUUAUUGGGCGUAAAGAGCUCGUAGGCGGCUUGUCGCGUCGACUGUGAAAACCCGUGGCUCAACUGCGGGCUUGCAGUCGAUACGGGCAGGCUAGAGUUCGGUAGGGGAGACUGGAAUUCCUGGUGUAGCGGUGAAAUGCGCAGAUAUCAGGAGGAACACCGGUGGCGAAGGCGGGUCUCUGGGCCGAUACUGACGCUGAGGAGCGAAAGCGUGGGGAGCGAACAGGAUUAGAUACCCUGGUAGUCCACGCUGUAAACGUUGGGCGCUAGGUGUGGGGGGCCUCUCCGGUUCUCUGUGCCGCAGCUAACGCAUUAAGCGCCCCGCCUGGGGAGUACGGCCGCAAGGCUAAAACUCAAAGGAAUUGACGGGGG